rnacentral:rRNA from 1 species
ACCCCACUAUUAGCCUUCAAGAUAAAAUCUAAGGACUACAGCUCUUAAGCUAAAACUUAAUAACAUGGCGGCGAGCCUAAAUUUCAGAGGAACCUACCAGGUAAAUGAUAACCCGCAAGAUAUUCCUACUUUCUCUAAUAGUUUAUAUGUCGCCGUCUAGUAACCUUUCGUGAAGGUUACAAAAUGCAAGCCGCAAUAAGACAGGUAAUGAUAUAACACAUGGGAAAGACUUAAGGUGGGUUACAAUAAUGAUUUAUUCCCCAAUAUUAUUUAAAUAUAAUAGAAAGAUGGAUUUGAAAGUAAAUUCUAAUAGAAAUAUGUAUUGAAUAUUUCUAGGUUCGUGUACACACCG